UAUAGUGUGCAAUAUCAUAUGAUUUUUUAAGGUAGUUGCUGUAGUAAACGGCUUAAAGCAAACUUCACACUUGUGAGGCGUUUCUCCAGUUGUAACGGUCACGUUACAAAAUUAGCUCUUUAAUUAUUAUUAUAAUUAUUUUUCCUCGGUCUCCAUUUAAAUUCUCUAAUUUCUCGUAUAGGACUACUGGGGUGACGUCAUACCUCGGCGAUGGAACGUACUCCACCUAUCGAGAAUGAUUUCGUUUUCUGAGAGAGUUUGACGUUUACCUUGGCGGAGAAGCGCCUCUCGUUCUUUACUUGACUGUUGGCUGUUGUGUCGAAUAGAGGUACCAUAUAGAAUGGCGGAUGAUUUCAUCCAACUUAUUUUAUAACAUCAAGCAAUUUAAAGUAAAGUAAAAAGUUACCACCAAGGAUUGUCUGGAGUGAGGAGACAUGUGGGUGACAACUCCUGUUGGAGUCUAAAUAGGAAUCAUUCGCCAUUUGGGAGAAACCCUACCAUGAAGUCAUAGACCUUAUUUGACCACCUAGAGAAACCACUACAGCCACAGUCAAGUCAUCAUGGGAGUAUGUCGAUUUGGGAGCAAGCUAUGGGAGCGUUCCAGCUCAAUUUUCGUCUUGGCACCUGGGCCUACAGGAGUCAUGGGGUCGCACCAUCCUGGUGCAUCAUUUUCUAGGAUGCAACCGCAACCUCGUUUGGGAACAUUUAGUGAGGUGUUUUAGUAACUAUUGGUUUUUUUAUAUUUCAGACUAUCUGUUAAAUACACUAUGUUUUUUUCCAGAUUUAGGUUACCUCUGGUUUUUUUUUUGACAUAUUUGUAUAUUAGAUUAUUUGGUUCCCAAACUUUGUAUCUACGGUAACUUCUUGUGCACAGGAAUAAGCCUAGAGAAAAUUAGGUUUUUAAUACUUUAUUAUUGCUUUUGAUAUUGGUUUAUGUAAUUAGGGUAAAUUUAUUUUUUUUAAUAUUACUAGCUUGUUUCCCAAAUAUUUUACUGUUAUUCGCUUUAUUCCAUUUGUUCGGUUAAUUUAGGUCAUCGUCGGUAUUUAUCUCAACUUCAUUUCUACUUUAGUCAAUUGUAUAUUUAACUUUAUUUAUUCAUUAUUGUAUUUUCCCUUAGUGAGGCUUGGACCUAUUUAUUUGUAGUAUUUUCAUCUUUGUCAGUUUCCUUUAGUUGUACGUAGCAGGCGUACUAUAACCAUUUGGUAGAAAACUUAUGUAAUUUUGUACCCUAUAUAUAUGUAAGAGGUAUUUAAGUUUAUAACAGAUAACAUUAUUGUUGUUAUCUUUAAAAUAUAUAUAGCUUCUUGUAUAACUUAUGUCAUUUUAGAGUUACAUGAUAUAUGCUUGUCUAGCUCAGAGAUUGUUAAAAAUCUAGUAGUUAUUUUAAUAAAUAUUUAUUUAUUUUGUA